rnacentral:rRNA from 1 species
UACGUAGGGUGCGAGCGUUGUUCGGAAUUACUGGGCGUAAAGCGCGCGUAGGCGGCUUUGUAAGUUAGAGGUGAAAGCCCGGGGCUCAACCCCGGAACUGCCUUUAAGACUGCAUCGCUUGAAUCCAGGAGAGGUGAGUGGAAUUCCGAGUGUAGAGGUGAAAUUCGUAGAUAUUCGGAAGAACACCAGUGGCGAAGGCGGCUCACUGGCCUGGUAUUGACGCUGAGGUGCGAAAGCGUGGGGAGCAAACAGG